AGAGUUUGAUCAUGGCUCAGAUUGAACGCUGGCGGCAGGCCUAACACAUGCAAGUCGAACGGUAACAGGAAGCAGCUUGCUGCUUCGCUGACGAGUGGCGGACGGGUGAGUAAUGUCUGGGAAACUGCCUGAUGGAGGGGGAUAACUACUGGAAACGGUGGCUAAUACCGCAUAACGUCGCAAGACCAAAGAGGGGGACCUUCGGGCCUCUUGCCAUCAGAUGUGCCCAGAUGGGAUUAGCUUGUUGGUGAGGUAACGGCUCACCAAGGCGACGAUCCCUAGCUGGUCUGAGAGGAUGACCAGCCACACUGGAACUGAGACACGGUCCAGACUCCUACGGGAGGCAGCAGUGGGGAAUAUUGCACAAUGGGCGCAAGCCUGAUGCAGCCAUGCCGCGUGUAUGAAGAAGGCCUUCGGGUUGUAAAGUACUUUCAGCGGGGAGGAAGGUGUUGUGGUUAAUAACCGCAGCAAUUGACGUUACCCGCAGAAGAAGCACCGGCUAACUCCGUGCCAGCAGCCGCGGUAAUACGGAGGGUGCAAGCGUUAAUCGGAAUUACUGGGCGUAAAGCGCACGCAGGCGGUCUGUCAAGUCGGAUGUGAAAUCCCCGGGCUCAACCUGGGAACUGCAUUCGAAACUGGCAGGCUUGAGUCUUGUAGAGGGGGGUAGAAUUCCAGGUGUAGCGGUGAAAUGCGUAGAGAUCUGGAGGAAUACCGGUGGCGAAGGCGGCCCCCUGGACAAAGACUGACGCUCAGGUGCGAAAGCGUGGGGAGCAAACAGGAUUAGAUACCCUGGUAGUCCACGCCGUAAACGAUGUCUACUUGGAGGUUGUGCCCUUGAGGCGUGGCUUCCGGAGCUAACGCGUUAAGUAGACCGCCUGGGGAGUACGGCCGCAAGGUUAAAACUCAAAUGAAUUGACGGGGGCCCGCACAAGCGGUGGAGCAUGUGGUUUAAUUCGAUGCAACGCGAAGAACCUUACCUGGUCUUGACAUCCACAGAACAAUCCAGAGAUGGAUUUGUGCCUUCGGGAACUGUGAGACAGGUGCUGCAUGGCUGUCGUCAGCUCGUGUUGUGAAAUGUUGGGUUAAGUCCCGCAACGAGCGCAACCCUUAUCCUUUGUUGCCAGCGAUUAGGUCGGGAACUCAAAGGAGACUGCCAGUGAUAAACUGGAGGAAGGUGGGGAUGACGUCAAGUCAUCAUGGCCCUUACGACCAGGGCUACACACGUGCUACAAUGGCGCAUACAAAGAGAAGCGACCUCGCGAGAGCAAGCGGACCUCAUAAAGUGCGUCGUAGUCCGGAUUGGAGUCUGCAACUCGACUCCAUGAAGUCGGAAUCGCUAGUAAUCGUGGAUCAGAAUGCCACGGUGAAUACGUUCCCGGGCCUUGUACACACCGCCCGUCACACCAUGGGAGUGGGUUGCAAAAGAAGUAGGUAGCUUAACCUUCGGGAGGGCGCUUACCACUUUGUGAUUCAUGACUGGGGUGAAGUCGUAACAAGGUAACCGUAGGGGAACCUGCGGUUG
rnacentral:rRNA from 1 species